rnacentral:rRNA from 1 species
AGGACGAACGCUGGCGGCGUGCCUAACACAUGCAAGUGGAGCGACGAACCGGGGCUUGCCCCGGGGCAGAGCCGCGAACGGGUGAGUAACACGUGGGUUACCUGCCCCGAUGACUGGGACAACCCGUCGAAAGACGGGCUAAUACCGGAUGUGCCCCUUGGGGGAAAGAAGCUUCGGCCUCCGCAUCGGGAUGGGCCCGCGGCGCAUUAGCUUGUUGGUGGGGUAAUGGCUUACCAAGGCGACGAUGCGUAGCUGGUCUGAGAGGACGAUCAGCCACACUGGGACUGAGACACGGCCCAGACUCCUACGGGAGGCAGCAGGUGGGAAUCUUGCACAAUGCGCGAAAGCGUGAUGCAGCAACGCCGCGUGCGGGAAGAAGGCCUUAGGGUUCGUAAACCGCGUUUCAGGUUGGAACGUAAGUCUUUAAGUCGUUAAGUAGCGGUUUAGGAGUGACGGUACCUUCGAGUAAGAGCGACCGCUAACGUCGUGCCAGCAGCCG